rnacentral:rRNA from 1 species
UACGAAGGGUGCAAGCGUUAAUCGGAAUUACUGGGCGUAAAGCGUGCGUAGGUGGUUCGUUAAGUCUGAUGUGAAAGCCCUGGGCUCAACCUGGGAAUUGCAUUGGAUACUGGCGGGCUAGAGUACGGUAGAGGGUGGCGGAAUUCCUGGUGUAGCAGUGAAAUGCGUAGAUAUCAGGAGGAACAUCCGUGGCGAAGGCGGCCACCUGGACCAGUACUGACACUGAGGCACGAAAGCGUGGGGAGCAAACAGG